rnacentral:lncRNA from 1 species
GGGUUAAAGUAAAAAAAUCAAAGGGGUAAAAAUGCAAAAGAAAUAAAUCUUUGGGUUAAAAGUAAAAUAUAAAGUUUUUUUUUUUGAAAAAUUCUCUAAGCAUAUGGUACAACAAUAUAUAGCAACAAAGUGUUUUAUUUAUAGUAUGGAAAUGUGGAACGCAUAUUAUUAUAGUAUCAUUGUUUGUUAGUUUUAACAACUUAAAGUAAUUGAUUUAUAAUGCAUGUGAGUUGAACUAAUUAUUUAUUUAUGUAGUUUUUAAUUAGUUUUGUACCGUUUACACACAAAACUAUUUUGAACCAUUUAUAUUUUCUAUAUACACAAACGUUUAAGUUUAAGUGGUUAGAAAAGUGCAUAUUUGAGCAGAAAAAAAAAACAAUAGAACAAAUGAAAGAGAGAAGAGACAUGUACUCUUGUAUUGAUUCUGAUCUUUAGCAGGAUAAUGCUUGUUAGCUUGAAGAAUCACAAGAGGAUGCCCACUUUUGGAUAAACCCUGAAGAAAUACCUUUUUAGCGUUCAACUCUUCAACAACUUCAGAUUCAGGGAUAAACCCUAGUGGCACAAAAGAAGACCUCCAAUUUUGCCAUGCAACAAACAACUUUGCUGCUUUAUUCGGAUCCAUUGAUUUAUCUAUCAAGAACCUCUCUAGUGUUGCAUCUCCAUACUUCUACACAAAACCAAAAUAGCAAAAAAAAAAAAAAAAAAAUCAAAUAAACAUUACUAGAAAAUCAGAAAUAUCUUAAACCAGUUUUCGUAGGAAAUGCGUUAUCAAACGGAUUUUCCGAUACAUUUGUGACAAAUACGUGAUGUACCAAAUCGCCUCGUAGGAAACAGUUUCCAACGCAUUUCCAACGCAACUUCCUACACAUUUCUUACAAAACUACCGCGUCGCAAUCUGCUACAAAUCUCCCACAACAAAUCGUAGUUAUUAUUAUUAAUCUAUUAUAAUGAUAAAAUAUUAAUUAUUAUUUUUUAGGAUUUUUUAGCACACAUUUGCCACAAAAAAAAAAAAAAAAAAAAAACUUAAUACAACAUUAUUUGUAACACCGAUAUAUAUCCGAAUCAUUCAGAUUAACGUUAUGGUUUGGUUACAUACUUGCUAAUGAAUCCAAUAUGAUGUCAAGAUCGAUUAGUUACAUUACAUACCUCGGCUGAAGAUCCGAGCUUCUGAACAUGUUCCUUCAUCUGAUUGAUUGA